rnacentral:tRNA from 1 species
GCCGAAAUAGCUCAGUGGUAGAGCACUUCCAUGGUAAGGAAGGGGUCGGAAGUUCAAUCCUUCUUUUCGGCA